GAGACCCCUGCCGUUAAUUGCUACCAUUAUCCGCAAGGAUGGUGGAGCUAGUUGGCGGGACUGCCGCCGCUAAGGCGGAGGAAGGAAGGGGCAACGGCAGGUCAGUAUGCCCCGAAACUCCUGGGCCACACGCGGGCUGCAAUGGUAGAGACAAUGGGUUCCUACCUCGAAAGGGGGAGGCAAUCCCCAAACUCUACCCCAGUUGUGACUGAGGGCUGCAACCCGCCCUCACGAAUCUGGAAUCCCUAGUAAUCGCAUGUCAUCACCGUGCGGUGAAUAC
rnacentral:rRNA from 2 species